rnacentral:rRNA from 1 species
UUGAACGCUGGCGGAAUGCUUUACACAUGCAAGUCGAGCGGCAGCGCGGGGCAACCUGGCGGCGAGCGGCGAACGGGUGAGUAACAUAUCGGAACGUACCCUAUCGUGGGGGAUAACACAUCGAAAGAUGUGCUAAUACCGCAUACGAUCUAAGGAUGAAAGCGGGGGACUCGCAAGGGCCUCGCGCGAUUGGAGCGGCUGAUAUCAGAUUAGGUUGUUGGUGAGGUAAAAGCUCACCAAGCCGACGAUCUGUAGCUGGUUUGAGAGAACGACCAGCCACACUGGGACUGAGACACGGCCCAGACUCCUACGGGAGGCAGCAGUGGGGAAUUUUGGACAAUGGGCGAAAGCCUGAUCCAGCAAUGCCGCGUGCAGGAAGAAGGCCUUCGGGUUGUAAACUGCUUUUGUACGGAACGAAACGGUCCUUUCUAAUAAAGAGGGCUAAUGACGGUACCGUAAGAAUAAGCACCGGCUAACUACGU